GCUUCCUUGGUCCAAUGGUUAGGAUUCCACCCUUCCAAAGCUUCGGCUGCGAUGCAAGGUGGAGGUUCGUGUUCGAUUCACGGAGGUUGCA